rnacentral:lncRNA from 1 species
UUUUUUUCUUUUUUUGCUUCUUUGAGCCACACCCGCAGCAUAUGGAAGUUCCCAGGCUAGGGGUUGAAUCGGGGCUACAGCUGCUGGCCACAGCCACAGCCACAGCCACUCGGGAUCCAGGCCAUAUCUGCAACCUACACCACAGCUCAUGGCAACACCGGAUCCCCGACCCACUGAGCGAGGCCAGGGAUGGAACCCACAUCCUCAUGGAUACUAGUCAGGUUCAUUUCUGCUGCGCCACAGCAGGAACUCCUGGAGAAGUUGAUCUUAAAGCGGUAAGGCCAUAUCACAUAGCCCUCUAAUUAAUAUAAAAGACUUGGAGGAAAGGCUAGGUGGUUAUAAUAAAGUUUAGAGGCCAAGGGGAGGGAAGCAGUGGGAGUUAACAUUAGAAGGUUUUCACGGGGAUGGGGAGUAGGAGGAAGCUCAUCUGUCAAGGGUGAACGGCGAUGUGAGCUGUGAGGAUACAUUAUCACCCGUACGCUCCCAUCUGUGUGUAUUAAUGAGACUGCACUAUCAAGGCCACGGCUACAACCUGCGGUUUAAACGCUUGCAGUUCUCGUAGAUGUCCUCUGAUCAUUCCUCGGUUCUCUUAGAACUUCUUUCUUCCAAGGAGACGUGCUCCUCACGAAGUGGGUCGACGUCAGAACAACAUGAAUUAGCCAAUCGGUGUCAUUUCUUCACUUUUUUAUGGUUAAGCAGAAAAUUGGAAGCACUGAGAAGUGACUUCUUGACUGGUUCUUCCACUUGGGGCGAUCUGAUAAAUGUUUAGCAAGCUGCUUAAACAUUGAAUUCUGUGGGGUUAGUGUAAAUUCCUGAAGAAGCAGCUCAUUCUGGUCACUCUUUAUUGAGAACUCAGGUGCCAGGCAUUGUACUAGAUGCUGGGGAUUGAGGGCCAGAAAGACACAGCCUUUGCCCCUGGGCAGCUCACAGCCAUGUGGAGCAGCUCUGGUCUGGUGGGUAGAAGGCCAUGUUUUAUGUGUAUGAGAGGUAGGGAAAUUGGUACUGUUUUUUGCUUUUGGUGCAGCAUUACUUCUUUUUCGUGUAGAUUUUAACAUACAGUCAACUUUUUUAAAAGUUCAUAAAUUUUGACCUAAGUAUACAUUUGUAAAAUUGGCAUCACAGUCAAGAUAAUACACAUAUUUCUCCCUCCAGAAGUUUCUUCUUUCCCUUUGUCAUCUCACCCUCCAGCCUCAGCCCUGCCUAAGCAACUAUUCAUCUGACUUCUAUCACUGUAGAACAGCUUGCAUUUUCUAGAGUUUUAUAUAGAAGGAAUCAUAUAGUGUGUUUUUGUUAUUAUCUGGCAAUAGUCAUCUUUUGACAGACCAUGCUAAUGGAAAGAAAUGGGGAUAAUUUCUUAAAGUGGAUGUGUGUGUGUGUGUACAUAUAUAAAAAUCAUAAGGGGAAAUAUUUUUUCUUCCUUUUUUUUUGAGAGCCACACCGGAGGCAUAUGGAGGUUCCCAGGCCAGGUGUUGAAUCAGAGCUACAGCUGCUGGCCUAUGCCACAGCCA